UUAGUUUGAUUCUAACUAAAAGAUUAGUGUUAUUUUUAAAUCUUAUGCUUACUAUAUGUAAAACAAUAAAUAUAUAAUUAAUUAGGGAUAACAUUUAUGAAAUUAACCUUAAUAAGCAGCGACUGAAGCUAUAAUAAUAUGUUAAAGCAUGAAAUGGUUCAAAUUCGAUUAUUGGUCUAAUUCGUGCCAGCAACAGCGGUUAAACGAUAAAUAUCUAACAAGUAAAAUCUGUAUAGGUAUUAUUAAACAAUGAGUAAAUAGGUAAAAUUUCUUCACACUUAGUCCCAAAAAUGCCUAUAAUAAACUAUAAACUAAAACAAGGAUUAGAUACCCUUUUAUUAUUAACUUAAAAUAAGAUUGGAGACUACGAGCAAUAGCUUAAAAACCCAAGGAUUUGGCGGUGUCUUAUUCAAUCAGGGGAAUCUGCACCUGAAAUCGAUAGUCCACGUUAAACUUUACCUAAUUUUGAUUAAUUAGCUUGUGUACUGCCGUUUAAUAGGCCCUUAAGGUUACCUAUAAAAAAUAUAUAAAAUUACACGUCAGGUCAAAGUGCAGUUUAUAAUUAGGAGGAUGUGGGUUACAUUUCAAAAAGAUAGGAUAUUUAUAAAAUAAUAAUUAUAAAACUAGGACUUGAUAGUAAUUAUAAAAGAUAUUAUAUUAUAAUGAAUAUGAACUUAAGACAAGCACACAUCGCCCGUCACUCCUUUAUAUAGGAUAAGUCGUAACAUAGUAGACGUAAUGGAAAUUGCAUCUGU
rnacentral:ncRNA from 1 species